CCAGCUAAACAUAAGUGACCCUCAACUUUACUACAAACCUAUCUCUGUCGCUGUGGUUUUGAUUUGAUAAAUUUGAAAAGCAAAACCCCCAAGCUUUUCCUCUCCCUCUCUCUGCUAGGGUUUUAGGGCUAUUGAGGGUUUCUCUUCCUGAAAUCUGCUCAAGUCCAGAAAUCUGUCAUGGAUAGGUACCAGAGGGUCCAAAAACCCAAGCCCGAGUCGCCGAUAAACGAGAAUGAGAUCCGAAUCACCACCCAAGGUGCCAUCAGGAACUACAUCAGCUAUGCCACCACUCUUCUCCAGGAAAAACGUGUUAGAGAGAUUGUUUUGAAAGCAAUGGGACAGGCAAUCAGCAAGACAGUGGCCAUUGCAGAGAUUUUAAAGAAGAGAAUCCCCAGGUUGCAUCAAGAAAUUGUCAUUAGCUCAGAAAGCAUAACUGACGUAUGGGAACCCAUUGAAGAGGGUCUUGUACCUGUGGAGAUGACUCGCCAUGUCUCAAUGAUUGCAAUCACCUUAUCUCCUAGAGAGCUAAACAAAAAUUCUCCUGGGUACCAAGCUCCACAUUAUGCUGAACAACCGAAGCCACAAUCUACUUAUCAGCAGCAACAGCCAGCUAAACAAGCACGUGCCACAUACAAUGCUGUUAAUGAAGAUUCAUAUGGCCGAGGACAGGGUCGUGGGAGAGGGAGAGGACGGAAUUGGGGCAGGGGUGGAUACGGAAACUAUCAAGGUGGAUAUGGAUACUAUCAAGGUGGAUAUGGAAAUUAUCAAGAUAAUGGUGGAUAUUCAAACUGGGGCCGAGGUGGUGGGCGAGGCAGAGGUUGGGGUUAUCACAGUACGUAUCUUUAUUUAAAUGUGCAAGUGUAGCUUCUUAGAGCACCUUGUAUAUCGAUCGAUUUGUGCAAUUAUGAACUUAUUGGUACUGGGUAUGAAAAAGGUAGAGGUGGAGGGGGCAGAGGAUAUGGUGGGCGUGGCCGGGGACUGAUGGGUGGUCGUGGUGGUGGGAACCAGGCAUAAAAAGAACUGUUUUCGUUGCUUUAGCUGAAUGCUUGCCUUGGCCUAUGGGUUCAAUCUAUAAUGGUUACAGUUCUAAUAGCGUGAAAUGUGGUUCACAAUGUCCAGCAUUAUUGGGCAGUGUCUGUGUUUUCACCAUAUGGAUAUGGGUAAGGAUGUUCUGUUCAUAGUUUGCGUACAGCGGAAGAUCAAUAUGGUUGGUUUAUGAUUGCCAUAAUUCAUUUACCCAAUGUAGUUGCCAAUACCCGUUUGUAUUUAUUCCAUUGUCUUUAUUUCUUUUCU